rnacentral:rRNA from 1 species
GACGAACGCUGGCGGCGUGCCUAAUACAUGCAAGUAGAACGCUGAAGGAGGAGCUUACUUCUCUGGACGAGUCGCGAACGGGUGAGUAACGCGUAGGUAACCUGCCUGGUAGCGGGGGAUAACUAUUGGAAACGAUAGCUAAUACCGCAUAAGAGUAGAUGUUGCAUGACAUUUACUUAAAAGGUGCAAUUGCACCACUACCAGAUGGACCUGCGUUGUAUUAGCUAGUUGGUGGGGUAACGGCUUACCAAGGCGACGAUACAUAGCCGACCUGAGAGGGUGAUCGGCCACACUGGGACUGAGACACGGCCCAGACUCCUACGGGAGGCAGCAGUAGGGAGUCUUCGGCAAUGGACGGAAGUCUGACCGAGCAACGCCGCGUGAGUGAAGAAGGUUUUCGGAUCGUAAAGCUCUGUUGUAAGAGAAGAACGAGUGUGAGAGUGGAAAGUUCACACUGUGACGGUAUCUUACCAGAAAGGGACGGCUAACUACGUGCCAGCAGCCGCCGUAA